rnacentral:rRNA from 1 species
GUGGGGAAUCUUGCGCAAUGGGCGAAAGCCUGACGCAGCCAUGCCGCGUGAAUGAUGAAGGUCUUAGGAUUGUAAAAUUCUUUCACCGGGGACGAUAAUGACGGUACCCGGAGAAGAAGCUCCGGCUAACUUCGUGCCAGCAGCCGCGGUAAUACGAAGGGGGCUAGCGUUGCUCGGAAUUACUGGGCGUAAAGGGCGCGUAGGCGGACAGCUUAGUCAGAGGUGAAAGCCCAGGGCUCAACCUUGGAAUUGCCUUUGAUACUGGCUGUCUUGAGUUUGGGAGAGGUGAGUGGAACUCCGAGUGUAGAGGUGAAAUUCGUAGAUAUUCGGAAGAACACCAGUGGCGAAGGCGACUCACUGGCCCAAUACUGACGCUGAGGCGCGAAAGCGUGGGGGGCAAACAGGAUUAGAUACCCCGGUAGUCC